UGGGAAUAUUGGCACAAUGGGCGCAAGGCCUGAUGCAGCCAUGCCGCGUGUGUGAAGAAGGCCGCUUCGGGUUGUAAAAGCACUUUUCAGCGAGGAGGAAGGUGGUGAACUUAAUACGCUCAUCAAUUGACGUUACUCGCAGAAGAAGCACCGGCUAACUCCGUGCCAGCAGCCGCGGUAAUACGGAGGGUGCAAGCGUUAAUCGGAAUUACUGGGCGUAAAGCGCACGCAGGCGGUUUGUUAAGUCAGAUGUGAAAUCCCCGGGCUCAACCUGGGAACUGCAUUUGAAACUGGCAAGCUAGAGUCUCGUAGAGGGGGGCUAGAAUUCCAGGUGUAGCGGUGAAAUGCGUAGAGAUCUGGAGGAAUACCGGUGGCGAAGGCGGCCCCCCUGGANGAAGACUGACGCUCAGGU
rnacentral:rRNA from 1 species